CGUAGGCGGUUAUAUAAGUCGGGUGUGAAAGCCCCGGGCUCAACCUGGGAACUGCAUUCGAUACUGUAUGGCUUGAGUUUGGUAGAGGGGAGUGGAAUUCCACAUGUAGCGGUGAAAUGCGUAGAUAUGUGGAGGAACACCAGUGGCGAAGGCGACUCCCUGGCCCAAAACUGACGCUGAGGUGCGAAAGCGUGGGUAGCAAACA
rnacentral:rRNA from 1 species